rnacentral:misc_RNA from 1 species
UCCUUUGGGGCGCCACGAGCUGGG